rnacentral:tRNA from 1 species
GCGUCCAACGGUUUUGACGUCUGGAUUGUGAUUCCUGUUGUCGUGGGUUCGAGCCCCAUCAGCCACCCCA